GGAUCCGUGGCACAACCGUAGUGCGUCUAACUCCAUAUUAGAAUAAUGCGUGGUCGAUUCACGUCGGGUUCA
rnacentral:tRNA from 1 species